AUUGAACGCUGGCGGCAGGCCUAACACAUGCAAGUCGAGCGGUAGCACAAGAGAGCUUGCUCUCUGGGUGACGAGCGGCGGACGGGUGAGUAAUGUCUGGGAAACUGCCUGAUGGAGGGGGAUAACUACUGGAAACGGUAGCUAAUACCGCAUAACGUCGCAAGACCAAAGAGGGGGACCUUCGGGCCUCUUGCCAUCAGAUGUGCCCAGAUGGGAUUAGCUAGUAGGUGGGGUAAUGGCUCACCUAGGCGACGAUCCCUAGCUGGUCUGAGAGGAUGACCAGCCACACUGGAACUGAGACACGGUCCAGACUCCUACGGGAGGCAGCAGUGGGGAAUAUUGCACAAUGGGCGCAAGCCUGAUGCAGCCAUGCCGCGUGUGUGAA
rnacentral:rRNA from 1 species